rnacentral:rRNA from 1 species
AUUGAACGCUGGCGGCAGGCUUAACACAUGCAAGUCGAGCGGAGCGGCGGACGGGUGAGUAAUGCCUAGGAAUCUGCCUGGUAGUGUGGGAUAACGUCCGGAAACGGGCGCUAAUCCCGCAUACUACCAGAUGAGCCUAGGGCGGUUUAGCUAGUUGGUGGGGUAAAGGCCUACCAAGGCGACGAUCCGUAACUGGUCUGAGAGGAUGAUCAGUCCCACUGUAACGGAGCAACGGUCCAGACUCCCACGGGAGGCAGCAGUGGGGAAGAUUGGACAGUGGGCGAAAGCCUGAUGCAGCGACGCCGCGUGGGGGAUGAAGGCUUUCGGGUUGUAAACCUCUUUCGCUAUCGAACGGGUAGGUGGAGAAGAAGCGCCGGCUAACUACGUGCCAGCAGCCGCGGUAAUAC